GAGCAGACCGAUUAGGAAGCAUCUUUUGCAAACACAGGGCUCUUGCUGAAACAACAUCACUGAAUAUGCCCUUUGAAAAGUGUUCUUGGCACCUGCCCUCAUGCCCCAAGUGUGGCUUUAGCUAGGCAGCUUGUGGCUUUGUCUCAGCUUUCAAAGGGAAGUGGCUCUUCUAGGUUACAAGAACUCUUCAGCCUCUACAGAGACUUCAAGACAGCUUUUGUCACGCUCUUUGAAGAAUGCUGUAAGGAUUUUCCUGGGCUUUGUGCUGAGUUUGUCAAUGGUGUUCAGUAAUGUGGCCAUCCUCACAGAUAACCAUGGUUUGAGUGAUCGCACUGCAUAAAAGGCCUAUGAGCUUCAUCUGAAAGAAAGAAAGUGACCGAAAUCAGCAACAACUUGGUGGCCUGCAUUUGCUUUGAGAGGCUACUCGGAGGAAAAGAGAUAACGGGGAAAUCCGAAGCUGGCUUGGCAGUUCAGAUCUGAAAGCCGGGCUCUGGGCCGCUAGUCCAAGAGGAUUGCUGCCUGUGAGUGGAAUAGUGGCAGUCACAAAGGAAGCUGUUUACCAAGGGAGGCUGCCAAGGAGGACAUGCCAAGCACCAUCUUCCCCCAUCUGAGGUCAGGACUAAUUUUUUCAAGUCACAGGAAGAUUGCAGCUGGGUAUAGUGGUGAACAGAGCAACUUCUAGGCCAGCCUCCGCUUCGCUGUAUGAGACCUGCCUUUCAAAGCAAAACAGAGGACUGGGGAGACGGCUCAGUGAUGAAGCUCUUCCAGAGGACUUGAGUUCAUUUCCUAGCACCCACAUGAGGGGGCUCAUAAUCCUCGGUAAUUCCAGCUCCAGGCAGAUCCUAUGCCUCUGACAUAGAGCCUCAAAUAGAGACAUGAUUUAUGCAUGAUUAAAAAAAUAAAAAUUUAAACCAAAACCAAACAAAAGAUGAAAGGAACAGACACAGUAAGACAUUGCCUGAAAAAGAUAAAAUUGCAUAGAAGCCACCCUCAAACUCACUGUGAAUGAAACAAGAGUGCUGUUAAUGAAGCAACACACAUUCAGGACAUUUCCCAACAUGCCUUAGUCUCAGUUAAAGCCACAUCCGUUUCUAAACGGGAGGCAGUACCCCACAGUGACUCUGCACUAACCUCAGGGAGAAGGGGGUUCUGCUUUACUCUUUCGGGGCUACUGUGGACCACACUGUUGAUGGAACACGCUGCAGCAUCUCCAGGGUUUUCCUGGUGCACCUCAACUAGGUUUCCUUCUUUUUAAAACUUUGUAUAUUUCGAUGCCCUGGUUUGGGAUGUCACUCUGAUGACAGAGUACUUGUCUAGCAGGCAUGAAGUCCUGCAUCCCCAGAACAGAGGUGGUAAUACAUAUAUUGCUAGUAUUCUGUCUAAGCUCCACCCUACACUUAACUGGCAACUGCCAGGUAUGCCCAGCCCCAUAGACCUGGCCCACUAUAAAAGGGGCUACUUGCCCCUCCUCACUCACUCUCACCUCUCUGCCCCUCUUGGGCUCUCCCCUCCCCCCUCUAUCCACGUGGUCAUGGCCAGCCUCCACUUCCCUAUUCUCUCUCUCUCUCUCUCUCUCUCUCUCUCUCUCUCUCUCUCUCUGCCUCUCUAACUCCCUUCCUCUGCCCUGAAUAAACUCUAUUCUAUACCAUGUCUGUGUGCGUGUGGUCCUCAGGGGGAAGAGGUACCUGGGCAUGGGCCCGCUUAACCCCUCUCUCUCUUUUUAUGCCCACUUGGUUAAACAAACCCAGAAGGAUCAAAAGUCACAAGUGUCCUCAGUUACAUAGGCAUCUCUUUCUAUCUACAUUUUUGCAAAGAGAUAGAUAAUACUCUGGAGGCAUAGUAAAACCCUGCGUGGUAGCCAUUAGCAAAGAAGAACAUGAUUCUCAUUCUGAGAGAUUAGAGUUAGCUCUAUGAAGGACAGGGGAAGGACCAAAAAAAUCAAACAUGCAUACUGCAGACACUGAAGAUUUUGUUCUGUUUUGGUUUCUGUGUGUCUCCCUGUGUAGCCCCAGAGGGUCCGGAACUCACCGUAUCGAAAAGGUUGGUCAUGAACUAGUAUCCAUCCUUCUGCUUCUGCCCUCACAAGUUUUAUAUAAGUCAGGCAUAUCACGAUAGGGAUGAGAAAAGUCUCCUUUAAAAGAAACAAAAUUGUGUGCGCAUGUGGGCAUGCACAUGGGUGUGGAGUCAAAGGACAAUUUAUAGGAGUUGGUUUUCUCUUUUCCACCGUAUGGCCCUGAGGAUUGAACUCAGAUCUGGUUUGCUGGUGGAUGCUCUUAUCUGCUAAGCAAUCCCAUCCAUCAGUCCUAUAAGGCCCCCUUUUAAAUGCCAAAUAAGUGGGUAGUUGCAUGCAAUUGUGCAAAGGUCCAGAUAUUCAUGGAAGACAGUGGGCCGAGGGGUGGACACAGGGUAAGAGGUGGGAGAAAGGGUGUACACAUGGCAUUAGGGCCAAAUAGCUUCUCCAGGCAAGGACUUAAGUUAAUAAACCCUGUUAUAUGGUAGAAAACAUCCCAAAACAAAUAAGAGGCACCCAGCUGGCCGAAGAUAAAAUAUUCAGAAAAUAUUUUUACAGAGUUCAAUAUUUUAGAAGCCCCACUAUCUUGAUCAAGCGAUAUCUUCAAACAUCCAAGGAGAGAGGCCAAGACAAACACACCCAAAAGUCGCUAAAUAAGGAGUAAAGCAAGCCACUGAAGAACCACAGCCAACCUGCAUUUAACCCGGUGCCAACACAGUUGAGGCAGACAGUUCCUCAAUGCUGCUGCUCUUCUGAGGGAACAUUCCUCAGUCAGCAGGCCCAGGGCAGGAGGGAGCUGCGGAAACCUAGCAGACACAGAGACAACCUAAACUGGGCUUGAGCUUCAUGUAUCCUGUGCUUUUUUUUUUUUUUUCAGCUGCUAUUUUAAAAACUAAACAUUACAUUUGUGGUGGAAUUCUUUCCAGGUUCAAGAAAAGAAAACAAUAUGGUUAA